UAUAGUAAGAACUGGAAAAGUCAUGCUAAGUUGAGGCUUGUUCACAACAGAUAAAUACAAAUCCCUGACGCUGCAAGCUAUCUAUGGUUUCUGAAGAAACAAUGAGGUAUCCUAUCCAGUAUAUCUGCUAUCCACAGGAAGUUCAAGCUGGCUCCUAAGUGUCUAUUUACCCUUAAACUUAAGUUUUUUCCUGGUUGUUGAUCAGUUUCUUGAUUGUUCUAAACCAGAUAACCCCUUCUCAAUAGAAAAGACAACUAAGCUACUUACACUAUUAAAAGAAUGCUUUGAAGAAGCUGAACUGAGGGUAUAAAAAUCUGUAAAAAAGCAGCAAAGUUGUGCUUCAAGAGGAGAAGUCCCUCUGACACCAUCUGCUGUUGUUCCUGAGAAGCUGGAAGGAACAGAUCGUGUCUCCCUUCAAGGAUUGUGCUAAGAACUUUACCUGUCAGCAUUGGAACCCAAGUGCCUUG